rnacentral:rRNA from 1 species
AGUAGUCAUAUGCCCUGUCUCAAAGUUAGUGCCAUAGCAUGUGUAAGUAUGAGCUAAUGUCAGACUGUGAAACUGCGAAUAUGGCUCAUUAAAUCAGUUAUAAGUUUGAUUUGGAUGUAUCUGCUACUGUACUAGGUCGGAUAACCCGUAGUAAUUCUAUAGAGCUACAUACGUGCACAUAUACCCCGGGAACUGUCAUAGGCAGAAUGGGGACUGCAUUUAUUAGACCUAAAAGGUCACCGGAUCGGCCGCGGGCUACUGCCCGUGUUGCUGUAACUGAUGGAUGGUCAUAGGAUCGUACACUCGGGACCCGAGGAUAGAGCGGGUCCAUAAUUACGUGCAGAGCGACGCAUCAUUCAAACUAUGUUAUUCUGCCCUAUUGGGAUUCAGAUUCAACUAUUCGAUGGUUAGGAUAGAGGCCACCAUGGUGGUUUAGACGGGGUGACGGAGAAUUUAGGGUUUCAGAUUUCCGGAGAGGUGAGCCUUGAGAACGGCUACCACAUCCAGGAAGGCAGCAGGCGCGCAAGACUUACCCAAUCCUGACACGGGAGGUAGCGACAAUAGAAUAACACAUACGGGCUCUUAGAGUCUGUAAUUUGGAAUGAGUACAAUCUAAAUCCCUUAACAGAGGAUCCAUUGGAGGGCAAGUAUGGUGCAGGCAGCCGCGGUAAUUCCAGCUCCAAUAGCGUAUAUUUAAGGUUGUUUGCGUUUAAAAGCUCGCUAGUUUGGACCUUGGGUUGGUCCGACCGGAAGUUCCGCCUCGCGGUGUGCACAACUGUCCGGGCUCGUCCCUAUCUGCCGCGAUGCGCUCCUUGGCCUUAACUGGCCGGGUCGUGCCUCCGGCGCUGUUACUUGAAGAAAUUAGAGUGCUCAAAGCAAGCCAGACGCUUGGGAUACAAAUUAAGCAUGGAUAACAUCAUUAGGAUUUCGUCCUAUUGUGUUGGCCUUCGGGAAUCGGGAGUAAUGAUUAACAGGGACAGUCGGGGGCAUUCGUAUUUCAUCAUAGUCAAGGGUGAAAUUCUUGGAUUAUGAAAGAAGAACAACUGCGAAAGCAUUUGCCAAGGAUGUUCUUUCAUUAAUCAAGAAACGAAAGUUGGGGCUCGAAAGACGACAAGAUACCGUCCUAGUCUCACCAUAAACGAUGCGGGACUCAGUGGAUCGGGCGGAUGUUGCUUUAGGACUCCGGCGGCAACCUUAUGAGAAAUCAAAGUCUUUGGGUUCCGGGGAGUAUGGUCGCAAGGCUGAAACUUAAAGGAAUUGACGGGAAGGGCACCACCCAGGAGUGGAGCCUGCGGCUUAAUUUGACUCAACACGGGGAAACCUUACCAGGUCCGACAUAGUAAAGGAUUGACCAGACUGAGAGCUCUUUCUUGAUUCUAUGGUGGUGGUGCCAUGGCCCGUUUCUUAGUUGGUUUGGAGCGAUUUGUCUGGUUAAUUCCGUUAAACGAACGAGACCCUCAGCCUGCUAACUAGCUAAUGCGGAGGUGACCCUCCGCGGCAGCUUCUUAGAGGGAACUAUGGCCUUUUAGGCCAGGAAGUUGAGGCAAUAACUAGGUCCUGUGAUGCCUUAGAUGUUCUGGCCGCACGCGCGCUACACUGAUGUAAUUCAAACGAGUCCUAUCAGCCUGGCCCGACAGGCCCGGGUAAUCUGCUUUGAAAUUUCAUCGUAUGGGGAAUGAAUCAAUUGCAAUUGUUGGUCUUCAACGAGGAAUUCCUAGUAAAGCGCGAGUCAUCAAGCUCGCGUUGACUACGUCCCUGCCCUUUGUACACACCGCCGCGUCGUCCUACCGAUUGAAUGGUCCGGUGGAAGUGUUUUUCGAUCGCGGGACGUGGGCGGUUCGCCCCGCCGGCGACGUCGCGAAGAAGUCACUGAACUUAUCAUUUAGAGGAAGGAGAAGUCGUAACAAGGUUUCCGUAAGGUGAACCUGCGGAAG